CGAACGUGAUGAUGCCUGACAAUGGUCCCGCUUUUCUGGGCUGAUGUCUUGUGAUGCCACGAUUCUCUUGGCUAUCUGAUUCA